GAUGAACGCUGGCGGCGUGCCUAAUACAUGCAAGUCGAGCGAACAGACGAGGAGCUUGCUCCUCUGACGUUAGCGGCGGACGGGUGAGUAACACGUGGAUAACCUACCUAUAAGACUGGGAUAACUUCGGGAAACCGGAGCUAAUACCGGAUAAUAUAUUGAACCGCAUGGUUCAAUAGUGAAAGACGGUUUUGCUGUCACUUAUAGAUGGAUCCGCGCCGCAUUAGCUAGUUGGUAAGGUAACGGCUUACCAAGGCGACGAUGCGUAGCCGACCUGCGAGGGGGAUAGGCCACAUUGGAACUGAGACACGGUCAAGACUCCUAAGGGAGGCAGCAGUAGGGAAUCUGACGCAAUGGGCGAAAGCCUGACGGAGCAACGCCGCGUGAGUGAUGAAGGUCUUCGGAUCGUAAAACUCUGUUAUUAGGGAAGAACAAAUGUGUAAGUAACUAUGCACGGCUUGACGGUACCUAAUCAGAAAGCCACGGCUAACUACGUG
rnacentral:rRNA from 1 species